GAAAUUUAUUUUAACAUUGGUUUACCGUCACUUUGGUUUGUACACAAUACAUACAAACUGGAUAUCAUGUCAGAGUACCGAAUCAUGUAAAAGAUUAUUAGAAGUAUAACGCUGUUCAGUAACCAAACCUCGAAAACAAAAAUCUGGGUUACAAACCAAAACCGAGAGAAACACAUCGACUUAAAGCGAAAAACAACAGAAAAAUUGAACUGCAACAAAAACAAAAGCCAACGUUCACCUUAAUGCAUUUUUAAUAACAACUGCUAUAUUCCUGUAUUGGUACGUCAAUCACAAC
rnacentral:lncRNA from 1 species